rnacentral:misc_RNA from 1 species
GGGGAGCUCUAUUUCUCCUUCACGGAAACAGGACCAACAAGUCUAGGGCUUUCCCUCAAUCACCACCGUCUAUGCUGCGGAGCUCACUAAGGAGUUUGAGGUGAGGAUGCUUGUUACUGCCCCAGUUACCGAGAAAUGGACAUUGGACAAUUGGAAAAUGAAGAAAGCUUUGCAGUUUCUGGAACACUCGAAUACGAAUGACCUGGAGUCGGUGUUGAAGACUGCGAAGCAUUUCCCCAAUAGUUUUUGCAAGGGAAGCCAGAAGUAAAGAGGGGCU